GACUCACCGGGGCCGGCUCCCGAGUAGUACAUGGUGGCGCCGCCGAGGGGCUCCGGGGCCGAGGGGCGGCCGCGCGCGCGCCACGGGCCCCGACGCCGCGAGCCGCGAGGGAGCCGCCGGCCGCACGAUCCGCCCCGGCGCGGCCGCCUCGCCAAACAGUUAUUAACGAAACAUGAAUGUCGGGAAGCUUCCUCCCGACCCGGAGCUUGAACUUGAACGCUCCGCGGCCCUCGCACACGACCACACCGCCACCUCCCGGCCAAGAACCCAGAUAAUCCAUAGGCUAAGUCAAGAAUCCUGAAAAUGCAAGCAAUCACAGCCACCUCCUUGUUCCACCCCAGGGGGCCACCAACACCACUGUGCUUCGGAGGGUGUCACUUACUGGAACACAGAAGUGCCACAAGGGCUGCACCUAAGAUCUAUCCAGAAGACAUUAUUUCCUCCAGGACGCGGUGUUUCCUCUGUGCAGUAAGGAAAGAACAGCAGAGUUCACCAAUGUGAAGAUGUUGAAAAGUCAAAAUGGACGACAGAUUCCAAUGGAAACAUAAAACUGUAAAGCUUAAAAACAAACAGAAGAACAUCUCUGGGCUCUAGGGCUAGGCAAACAGGUCUUACGCUGGACACCAAAAGCACAACCCAUAAAAAGAAAGGUGGGUACACUGGACUUCAUCAAAAUGAAGGCUUUCCCCCGUGAAAGUCCGUUAAAAGGGCAAACAGACUGGCAAGAGGGGAGGAAAUGUUAGCAUUCUGUGCAUCUGACAACGGACUAGUAUCUAGUUUAGAGGAAGAAUUCUCACAGUUCAACUGUAAACAAGCAAACAAUCCAUUCAGAAUGUGGGCAAAAGACAUGGGGAGACAUUUCUCCGCAGAGGCAAUAAAGAAGGCAAGGACCUGUUCACCAUAGUUGACCAUUAGGGAAGUCCAAGUUCAAGCCACAAUAAGACUGGAGUGCACACCUAUCAGAACGGCUGGAAUAAAAAAUAGUGACGACAACAAAGUCGGGGAGGGUGUGAAGAAACCGGUUCUCCCCUCCUUUGCUGGUGGGAACGUCCGACCGCGAAGCCUCUAAGGAAAACAGUUUGCCAGCUUCUCAAAAAACUAACAUACAACUACCACAUGACCCAGGAAUCGUACUCCUGGGCAUUUCUCCCAGAGAAAUGAUGAUCGUGUUUGUACAUAACCAGUACAUGAAUAUUUAUAGCACCUUUAUUUGUACAACCCAAACCGGGAAACAACCCAAGUGUCCUUCAAUGGAUGAAUGGUGGGACAAACUGGUCCAUUCCCACCAUGGAAGACUCUUCAGUAAAAAGCAACAAACCAUUGAAAUACACAACCAGUUAGAUGAAUCUCAAGAGAAUUAUGGAGAGUGGAAAAAAAAGCCAGUUCCAAAAAGUUACAUAUUGUAUGCUUCCGUCUAUAUACCACUCUUGAAAUGAUGAAAAUAAAGAAAUGCAGAACAGAUGAGUGGUUGCCGGGGGCCAAGAUGGGAGUGGAUGGGAGGGAAGAGGGUGUGUCUAUGGGAGGACAACACGCCGGGUGGAGAAAAGCUCUGUAUCUUGACUGCAUCAGCGUUGAUAUCCUGGUUGUGAUGUUUUACUACAGUUCUGUGAAUGUUUCCAUUGGGGAAACUGGAUAAAG
ensembl:lncRNA